rnacentral:rRNA from 1 species
GAUGAACGCUAGCUACAGGCUUAACACAUGCAAGUCGAGGGGCAGCGCAGUGUAGUAAUACAUGGGCGGCGACCGGCGCACGGGUGCGUAACGCGUAUCCAACCUUCCCGUUACUCUCGGAUAGCCUUCCGAAAGGGGGAUUAAUACGAGAUGGUGUUGAAAUUCCGCAUGUUAUUUCAACUAAAGAUUCAUCGGUAACGGAUGGGGAUGCGUGACAUUAGGUAGAUGGCGGGGUAACGGCCCACCAUGCCUACGAUGUCUAGGGGUUCUGAGAGGAAGGUCCCCCACACUGGAACUGAGACACGGUCCAGACUCCUACGGGAGGCAGCAGUGGGGAAUAUUGCACAAUGGGGGAAACCCUGAUGCAGCAACGCCGCGUGAAGGAAGAAGGCCUUCGGGUUGUAAACUUCUUUUACCAGGGACGAACAAAUGACGGUACCUGGAGAAAAAGCAACGGCUAACUACGUG